GACAGAAGAACACUCCUGCACAGAGCUCGAGAGGCCACAUAUGCAGCAGAGGUUUUCACAAUGAACAGCCUCUUGGACACCAGGACAAGAGGAAAGACUUACCACACUGCCAGUCUAUAUCCAGACGAACUGAAGUGGAAGAAGACUUAUGGUUUCCCAAAACAGGGAAGGGAAUAUGAAGGUCAUUGGGGAGAUUGAUAAGGAUCCAGAGAAGAAUUUAUGUACUACAAUACCUAAUUUCUGAGAGUUCUGCAGAAGACUGUAUUUUCUCCUUUUUUCAAUGCAUUGGUAAAGGGAGGUGUCCCAGAAACUUGCAAGCCAGUCAGAGAGUCACUUGAAAUAGUAAAGCUCUUUGAAAAUACUGAGGGUAGAGAAAGGUAUUAAACUCUUACUCAAUAAGACAUACUUAUUUCUCUGGCACAAGGGUUCUUUUAUGUAAGAGGCUGAGACACCACUUUUACACACUGCUACGCAAAACCUGACAAAUAAAAACUGAACAAUAAGAAAGUCUACAGAAAAGUCCCAGCUACUCUUAAUACAGUAAUAGAGUAUUCAUCUCAAAGGAUGCUAAGGUUAGAGGUGAGGAUUCAGUUCUCAGAGUCUCUGUCCUAGGAGACUACUAAGAUACUGGAUAAAAGUGUGUUGUGUGAUGCUGUUCAAACACAUAGGAGACUUGGCCACACUGGAAGUCCCUGAUGAGACCAGACAUUUAACAGCCUUACCAGGGUAUAAGCACAAAGCAGUAUAGUAGGAUCAGAACUUCUAUUAAGGAGAUUGCUGGACAGGGAAUAAAGGUGGCCUAUAGAUGUAGGUGGCAGUCCAGCAAAAUGUUUCUGAGUAACACAGUAAAGCCAUAGUGUUGGUGCUUGGUUUGCAAGUCCUUUUGUAGAUAUAUCCUAAUAUGACAAUAACACAGUUACAGCACUUCUCACUCCAAAAUAUGUUUAGAGCAGAUCUCUAGCACAGAGUCUAAAUUUGUUGUGAAUCAUCAGCACUGCAGGCUGCAUUUUUUCUUAAAGUUUCCAGAUUCCACGAACCUCCAGUGUAAGCUGUUCUGUUAAUGUUACAUAUCAGGGUAUGGACAAACCUUUUUUUCUAAAAAGAUGAAAUGGUGCUUGUCACAACUGUAAGUAGCUCUUUGUGAUCCAAGCAGCACUAAAAAGAAUAUUUUCUUUUUCUCCCUGGUUUAUCUGUGUUUAAACAGACUAAAGAAGAAAUAUAAAGAAAUAAGAGACUCUCAGAAGUCCACGUAGCUUGUUCAAAGAUCAUGCAGAAAUAUGUAGUAAUAUUAGGAAAUUACUAAUACCUUCUGGAACAGAGCUUUCCCUUUCACUGAAAGGCAUUUCUGUUUUCCUAUUGGAUUGCAUGAGAUGCCAGAAACAUGAAUUAAAAAUAUGGAAAUAUUCCAGAAUAAAAGUAAGACUUAUCUAAGGCUUCUUAGAUCCAUCUGUCUUCUCAAAGAAGUUUAGUUUCUUUCUUCACUUGAGAAAUACCGGUAUGAGCAACAACAAAAAAUGAUAACAAGAAUGAAACAAAUACCUAGCAAAAUAUGAGCAAGAAAGGAUUCCAUGCCUCUGCAGAGACAAGUAUUUAGAUUAAUUUUUUUAAUUCUGGAAUUUGCAAAAUAAAUAUUUAUUGCUGCUGUAAGUUUCAAAAGAAUUUCUAUGUCUAAAAUGUCUAAAAAAAUUAAAAAUGGGAAUUUUAUUAAAGAAUAAAACUGUUUAAAUGUUCAAUCUGGACAAAUUUUCCCAGCUCAUUCCUUUAGUGAUUGAGCUAUAUUUAUAGGAAAUGUCAGAACUGAAGGUGUCAUGGAAUCUGCAUUUAUGCAGAUAUUCUAUUUUCUGCUACUCAAAUAUUCAGAAAUUUAAAUGACAAAGAACUAUAGAAAACAAUGUACCAAAGUUGUACAUCAUAAAAUGGUGGUGUUGAGCUCAGUGAAACUUUUAGAUGUAAAAAGUGUAAGAAUUUAAAGCCAUACCUUUGUUUUCAGAUAUCACCAGCAGGGAAAUUAAUUUAUUUUUUAAAUCUUGGAGGACCUGUCUAGCCAUUAGACAGAACAACUAAAUGGAUCAACAAGAAGCUGCAAAUGGGAUUUUUCUGUAGCUUUGGUGUUAUUGAAAAUGGAAUAUAACUGCCAAAGCUAUUGCUUGUGUUGUAGAACAAAUUCUCUCCUGAUGUAAAAUGAUACAAUUCCAUUGACUGCAAUGACGUUACACCCAAUUUAUGUCAGAAAAAAUAUGUAGCUCUUUAUCCAUUUAUCUAUAAGCUGGUUGCUGUGACUUAAUUUUAAAUGAAUUAUGUUACUGUUCUUGGUCUGUGCCCUUGCAGCACUUUAUUACAUAGAAGGCUAGUUCAGCAGAAAUAAAUAAAUAUGUGAUUUGCAGUCUCAGCAAAUGUCCUAGCCAGGAACAAUGGCAUCUCUGCAGUGUUCCAGACUAAUUGCCCCCAAUUUUCUGCUCUAACCUUCAUAUGCAAUACUAUUCUCCUCGUUCUUUUUCCACCCAAUCCUCAUGUUCAGAUUUUGUCCAGUGUCAGCAAGACUUUAACCAUCAGCUCUUACGUAUUCAAAUUCCUUUUGAGUAUAGCUUCCUCUAUGUGAUCCCCAGUGAUCAUAAGAAACAUGUGUUACAUUUAAGAAAGUGCAUUAGUUAAGAAAAGGAUAUGUUUUAAAUCUUUCCUUAAGCUCUUGCCUUGAAUUUUCGUGUGUGAUAUUAUACCCUAACAUUUACGGUAACAAAUGCUGUCAUUAUAAUUGUGUCUUAUGCUCACUAGCAUAUCAUCAUCCAAUGUUUUUCUAAUUUCACAGUCAAAACCUGCCAUCAAAUAUCAUAAGCAGUUUAACUGAUAUUAAUACAAGUAGGAAGAUUUUUGAGCUUAUUUUAAGGCUGAUUGGCAGCAACUUUCUGUCCAAAAACUGAAUGCAGUAGCACUAAGUUAAUGAUAAGCAUUAAUAAAUCAUGCUUGAGGUAAUUUUUUAGGUACUAAGGACCUUUUGAUGAUUAGUGAACAUGUCUGAAAAUUGUUCUGGUCACCUACUUAAUAGCUUGUGGCUUUGGAAGGCAUUAAUCCAGAACAUUGACUUCAUUUUGUCAUUAAGUCUUUUACAUUAUAGGAAGGUGUUUGUGAGGCCUAUUGGAUUCAGUGGUGUACAGGAAGCAUGUAAUUAAAGAAACUGUAAGUAGUUAGUUUCAGUUAGAAAUAAGUAGUUAGUUCCCAGCUGCUUACUUUGGGAAGCACCUGCUGGAUUUCACAGAAUUGGUUCCCAUAGUCCAGCUGCAUUUCUGCUGAAUAGUUCAACCAGGUGUGGAGCCAUAAUCUAUGACUUUUGUGUGUUUAUCCACUAUGAAUGACCAUUGACCAUAUAUAGGUAAAAAGUAAAAUAAAUGUCCACAAAACGCAUGAUAUCUGUGAAAUGGAACUGUGUUGUUUCUGAAAUAUUUUAUUAAGUCUCAUGUUAGAAAAAAAGCACUUUUUAUAUGCACAUGCAGGUAAAUAUUCCUGAUGGGACUUGCCAGGCUGGACUGGGGGAAUUCUGUUCUCAGUUCCUACCUUUUGGAUCAUAAGUCUGUCUUCUUUACUGCACCAUUAAACUGACUAUAAUGUAUUUGCAUGGUGGCUUAUCUGACCUGGUGUUCUCCUUCUUGUGUCCCCUGUGGACACUUAAAAAAGAACCAUUAUGAAAUAAGAUUAUCACUAUGGAAAAUUUUACUCCUAGUCUCAUUUAGUUAGCACUGAUAUAACUUUUGAUAAACUCAAGAGGAACAAAAUAGAGUCUUGCAUCAUCUUUUUCAUAUUGUAUGCAGUUCCUGUGUCUCUGGGGUGCUCCCAAACACAGAAGCAGAGUAUAAUGUUGUAUUUCCUUUAGUCUUUGUGUUCAAGGUCUUGAUAAGUCUUUUCAGGCCAUAUACUAUGGGUAACCUUUUGUAGGCAUAUCUGGGUUCACCAGAACUGAAAAAAAUUCCUAGAUUUCUUUUCUGGGAGGGUGAAUUUUGUAGAUGCUUUUUCUCUCUAAAGCAGUUAAAAAAAAAAAAAAAAGAUGAUUCUAUGAUGUUUCUGAGAAAUUCUUAAGUGUAUUACAUUUCCUUCAGAGAAAAAUGU